UACGGAGGAUGCGAGCGUUAUCCGGAUUUAUUGGGUGUAAAGGGAGCGUAGGCGGACUUUUAAGUGAGAUGUGAAAUACCCGGGCUCAACUUGGGUGCUGCAUUUCAAACUGGAAGUCUAGAGUGCAGGAGAGGAGAAUGGAAUUCCUAGUGUAGCGGUGAAAUGCGUAGAGAUUAGGAAGAACACCAGUGGCGAAGGCGAUUCUCUGGACUGUAACUGACGCUGAGGCUCGAAAGUGUUGGGAGCAAACAGGAUUAGAUA
rnacentral:rRNA from 1 species